rnacentral:rRNA from 1 species
AUUGAACGCUGGCGGCAGGCCUAACCCAUGCAAGUCGAGCGAGCGGCGGACGGGUGAGUAAUGUCUGGGAAAAUGCCUGAUGGCGGGGGAUAACUCCUGGAAAAGGUAUCUAAUACCGCCUACCAUCUGAUGUGCCCAGAUGGUAUUAGCUAGUAGGUGGGGUAACGGCUCACCUAGGCGACGAUCCGUAGCUGGUCUGAGAGGAUGAUCAGCAACACUGGAGCUAGGACGCGGUCCAGACUCCGACGGGAGACAGCAGUGGGGAAUAUGGCCGAAUGGGCGGGAGCGUGAUGCAGCCAUGCCGCGAGUGUGAAGAAGGCCUUCGGGUUGUAAAGCACUUUAAGCGGGGAGGCGGUACCCGCAGAAGAAGCACCGGCUAACUCCGUGCCAGCAGCCGCGGUAAUUC